GCAGCUUUUUACAAAGUGAACUCAGAGUCAACUUUGGCGAACAGGCAGGGGAUCUUCUACGCUAAUUUAGAGGUCCAAGCCAGACUCAUCUUCAAAGCCAGAUGUAUUAUAAGACCAACCAGGUCAGACUUCAUCUACUGGCGGCUGCUCUGCACUUGUGACCGA